rnacentral:tRNA from 1 species
GGCGUGGUGGUGAAAUGGAAAAACACACGGGUACAGUGCAACCGCUACCCAGUGAAAUUCAUCACGGUCGGUUGUCACACCUUUCACGUCCGGAUAUGCGGGUCCGAGUCCCGUCCACGCCA